CUCUGAAUUAAAAGUCAGGUCCUGAACUACAUCGCCAAAGUGGAAAGGUGAACAGUGCCUGUUCUGCAAAAAAAAUUAUAAGCUUGGAUCAGUGAGGUGGUGCAGCUCUGUUAAAACUCAGGGACCGAACUAACAGCCAAAAGGGAUUGGUGAAAAUGCAGUGCCUUAUUUGGCUCCAUAAAAGAAAAAAAACGGGCAAAAAAGUAAUUCCAUUCAGUGCCUUUAUCUGCUCUGUGGUGAUCCUUUGAAUUAAAACUCAGGUAUUAAACCAAUACAGCCAACAGGAAAGGAAAAAUGCAGUGCCUUCUCAGGCUCCAUAAAUAGGAAACAAAACGGGUAUUAAAAUUAUUUCCAUACAGUGCCUUGAUUUGCUCUGUGGUGAUCCUUUGAAUUACAACUCAGGUAUUAAUCCAAUACAGCCAAAGAGGAAAGGGGGAAAUACAGUGCCUUCUCUGGCUCCAUAAAUAGGAAACAAAACGGGUAUUAAACUAUUUCCAUGCAGUGCCUUGACUUGCUCAGUGGUGAACCUUUGAAUUUAAACUCAGGUAUUAAUCCAAUACAACUAAAGAGCAAAGAGGGAAUUGCUGUGCCUUCUGUGGCUCUAAAAUAAGGAAAAAACAGGCAAAAAAGUAAUCCUAUGCAGUACCUUCAUCUGCUCUCUGGUGAUCCUUUGAAUUAAAACUCAGGUAUUAAACCAAUUCAGCCAAAGAAAAAAGGGGGAAAUGCAGUGCCUUCUCAGGCUCCAUAAAAAGGAAACAAAACGGGUAUUAAAAUUAUUUCCAUGCAGCGCCUUGAUUGGCGCAGUGGUGCAGCUCUGUAUUAAAACUCAGGGACUGAACCAAUACAGCCAAAGGGGAUUGGUGAAAAUGAAGUGCCUUAUUUUGUUCCACAAAAGAAAAAAACGGGCAAAAAAGUAAUUGCAGAAGUGCCUUGAUCUGGUCGUGAACCACACAAAGAGGAAACGUGAACAUACUGUGCCUAAUCUGGCUCCCCCCCUAAAAAAAAAAAAGAAAAGAAAAAAACCCGACAAAAAAGUAACCCCAUGCAGUGCCUUGAAGGCCCUGAAAAAAAUAAUUUAUGCACUGCCUUGAUCUGGUUAGGCUGCUAUCAGCAUUCCUAGUGCCAGUGAAUGGAGAGUAUUUAUUGGAAAACAUAAGGUCCUGAACCACACAGCCAAAGAAGAAAGUUGAACAUACAGUGCCUAAUCUGGCUCAAAAAAAAAAAAAGAAAAGAAAAAAAUGAAAAAAAAAGUAAUUACA